AUACGGAGGAUCCGAGCGUUAUCCGGAUUUAUUGGGUUUAAAGGGUGCGUAGGCGGCCUUUUAAGUCAGCGGUGAAAGUCUGUGGCUCAACCAUAGAAUUGCCGUUGAAACUGGGAGGCUUGAGUAUGUUUGAGGCAGGCGGAAUGCGUGGUGUAGCGGUGAAAUGCUUAGAUAUCACGCAGAACCCCGAUUGCGAAGGCACGCUGCAAAGCCAUGACUGACGCUGAUGCACGAAAGCGUGGGGAUCAAACAGGAUUAGAUACCCUGGUAGUCCACGCAGUAAACGAUGAUCACUAGCUGUUUGCGAUACAGUGUAAGCGGCACAGCGAAAGCGUUAAGUGAUCCACCUGGGGAGUACGCCGGCAACGGUGAAACUCAAAUGAAUUGACGGGG
rnacentral:rRNA from 1 species